GCCCUAGUAGUUCAGCUGGUAGAACAACGGUUUUGUAAACCGUAUGUCGUAGGUUCGAAUCCUAUCUGGGGCUCCA
rnacentral:tRNA from 1 species